GCAUCGGUCGUAUAAUGGUUAGUAUUUCAGCCUUCCAAGCUGAUAAUCUGGGUUCGAGUCCCAGCCGAUGCA
rnacentral:tRNA from 1 species